rnacentral:rRNA from 1 species
AACGUACGCUGGCGGCAUGCCUAACACAUGCAAGUCGAACGAGAUCUUCGGGUCUAGUGGCGCACGGGUGCGUAACGCGUGGGAAUCUGCCCUUUGGUUCGGAAUAACAGUUGGAAACGACUGCUAAUACCGGAUGAUGACGAAAGUCCAAAGAUUUAUCGCCAGAGGAUGAGCCCGCGUAGGAUUAGCUAGUUGGUGUGGUAAAGGCGCACCAAGGCGACGAUCCUUAGCUGGUCGGAGAGGAUGAUCAGCCACACUGGGACUGAGACACGGCCCAGACUCCUACGGGAGGCAGUAGUGGGGAAUAUUGGACAAUGGGCGAAAGCUUGAUCCAGCAAUGCCGCGUGAGUGAUGAAGGCCUUAGGGUUGUAAAGCUCUUUUACCCGGGAUGAUAAUGACAGUACCGGGAGAAUAAGCCCCGGCUAACUCCGUGCCAGCCGCCGCCGUAA